GGUGUCUUCACUUCCGCCUUGGCUGCUAGAGUCAAACUCUUUUAGCGAGUCCGGACGGUCCGCCUCCUAUUCGGAAGGGCUACGGCGGCUAAAGCGGCGAGGGCCGGAGGCAGCGGGCGGGAUGAGCGCGACGCCCGGCGGAGGGGUACGGACGCUGCGGGUGCCAGGCCGCCACGGCUACGCCGCCGAGUUCUCCCCGUACCUGCCGGGCCGACUGGCCUGCGCCGCCUCGCAGCACUACGGCAUCGCGGGCAGUGGAACUCUGCUAAUAUUGGAUCAAAAUGAAUCUGGGCUUAGGCUUUUUAGAAGCUUUGACUGGAAUGACGGUUUGUUUGACGUGACCUGGAGUGAGAACAAUGAGCAUGUGCUUGUCACCUGUAGUGGCGACGGCUCCUUACAGCUCUGGGAUACCGCCAGGGCCACAGGGCCACUGCAGGUCUUCAAGGAGCACACUCAGGAGGUGUACAGUGUUGAUUGGAGCCAAACCAGAGGUGAACAGCUUGUGGUGUCUGGCUCAUGGGAUCAAACUGUCAAACUGUGGGAUCCAACUGUUGGAAAGUCUCUGUGCACUUUUAGAGGCCAUGAAAGUGUCAUUUAUAGCACCAUCUGGUCUCCCCACAUUCCUGGCUGCUUUGCUUCAUCCUCAGGCGAUCAGACUUUGAGAAUUUGGGACGUGAAGACAACAGGAGUCAGAAUUGUGGUUCCAGCACAUCAGGCAGAAAUUUUGAGCUGUGACUGGUGUAAAUACAAUGAGAAUUUGGUGGUGACAGGGGCAGUUGAUUGUAGUUUGAGAGGCUGGGACUUGAGGAAUGUACAACAACCUGUGUUUGAACUUCUCGGUCACACCUAUGCUAUUAGGAGAGUGAAAUUUUCACCAUUUCAUGCUUCUGUGCUGGCCUCUUGUUCCUAUGAUUUUACUGUAAGAUUCUGGAACUUUUCAAAGCCUGACCCUCUUCUUGAAACAGUGGAACAUCAUACAGAAUUUACUUGUGGUUUAGAUUUAAGUCUUCAGAGUCCUACUCAGGGUUAACUUUGCUGAGAGGAAAAGGAAACCUCCCCCAGAUUAUUGUGCCUAACUUGUAGACUCUGCCAAUGGAAAGGGUAACAGGAGAAGAAUGGAGUGCGGAAGGAUUGGCCCCAGAGGCGGAUGGAAGUCAAGCGUGUGUGGUCCUGGAUUCAGCUGCCCACUGAGCAGUCGAGAUUAAGGGCCUGCCAUUUCCCUCUCAGGACUGUGUCCCUCACCUCCUCCUGCCAGGUGGCUGACUGUGCUUGGGAUGAAACAAUAAAGAUAUAUGAUCCUGUUUGUCUUACCAUGCUGGCUUGAGACAAGCUUCUUCAUUCAGAAACAAAGGAGACUGACUGAAGAACUGCUUAGCAGGAAAUAAGUUAUUGAUAUUAUAGAUUUUAUGUUUUUAUAUACUAUUCAUAUUUCAAAUUUUAAAAAAUCAUUUUGGAAUCAAUUUUGAGGCAGCUGAUAAAGACUUUGGUUCACUAUUUAAAGCCUGGUACAUAAGCCAUAUUUCUUAAAAUCUUAAGAAUAAUUGAAGUUAUGGUAUAUGGUGUAUCUUAUAGUAUCUAUUAAAAUAUAACCUAUUAUAAAAUGGAUUAAAAUAUGGGAGCUCUGUAGAUUAUAUUGAUAGUGAUAUAUUUCACUUUUAAUUUGUCAUCUUUGAUUUAAAAUAUAAUGACUGCUAUUGAUAAAAAUCACAAAAACAGUA